ensembl:lncRNA
GUUCUUUACCACAGCCACCUGGGAAGCUGGUUUCCCCACACAAGCACCAAAAAAACCACAAAAAUACAGACAACAAAAAACCACACUCCCCUGCCUACUGUGGACAAAACUUGGCAAGGCGAGGCAAUAUUUUGUGUUCAUUUCAGAAAAUCUCAACCUAAUCAGGUGAAAUAAUGGUACCAUCGUUUAUCUUCAGGUGCCUAAGACACCUGAGAAUCCGGUGGAAGAGGAACUUUUUCAGAUUGGCCUGUGGCUUCCGGCAGUGGCGAGGUGCUGAUAGCGCUGAGCACUCAGAGGCUGAAAUUGGAUUUACCCGCAGGCUGAGGGCAGCGCUGGGCUGGCAAGCCUUGGAGUCAACAUCCAUCCAUUCAUUCCUAAGGGGGGGAAAAGGAAAUACACUAUCCGAACUCAAGAGGCCUAUUUAUUUAUCCCCGUUAGCAGGCAGGACACUUGACAAGCCCACGUCUUGGGGCUCGUUAGCGUCUUUAUUGCGAGAAGAUCUCGCCCGCAAGUUCCCACGGGGGCCAGGAGUCAGCGGGGCGCAUUUUCCUUAAAAAGCCUUCUUCACAGAGUGGGCUGGAAUCGCAACCGUUAAAGAGGCCUCACCGCACAAAGGGGCGUCCCGGCGGUAAUCGGUAAUCGGGAAAUAAAUUUGAUUUUCUGAAUUCUUCGGCAGCUGGUGACAAAGGAGCAGCACAGUCUCAGAGACAGCUUCUUACUGAUACACUGGAUGGACCUCAGCUGCAGCUUGAAGGGUCUGAACAUACCAAUAACAGCCAAAAUGACGCCCACCGACUUCUACCCCAAACUGAUUCCUUCUCUGCUACCUUCUCCUUAGAGGACAACAGCUUUGUAACUCGGGAGACCUCCCACGUUCAGUGGGGGUGCUUGGGCAUAUUGUAGAUGGAGACAAAAGGAAAAACUCAGGAAGAUGUCCUGUCUUUAAAUCCUUUCAUAUUUUAUACAUUGUAAAUGCUUCGCAUUAAUUUUUAUUUUUAAAAAUAUGGCAUUAAAGUGGUAUUUAUCUUGA